rnacentral:rRNA from 1 species
ACCCUGCACUUACAAGCUGUAGGAGCACAUUAUUUGUGUGACUGCGUACUUUUUGUAGAACGGGCCAACGAGUUACGUUGUGUAGCAAGGUUAAGCACUUAAGGUGUGGAGCCGUAGCGAAAGCGAGUCUUAAAUGGGCGUCCAGUUACCCGACGUAGACCCGAAACCAGGCGACCUAUCCAUGAGCAGGUUGAAGCGAAAGUAAAAUUUCGUGGAGGACCGAACCCACGUACGUUGAAAAGUGCGGGGAUGACUUGUGGAUAGCGGUGAAAUUCCAAUCGAGCCUGGAGAUAGCUGGUUCUCCCCGAAAUAGCUUUAGGGCUAGCCUCAAGCUUAGAGAAACGGAGGUAGAGCACUGAAUGUCCUAGGGGGUAUUGCACUUACCGAAGACUAUCAAACUCCGAAUGCCGUAUUCUUUUACUUGGGAGUCAGACUAUGGGUGAUAAGAUUCAUAGUCAAGAGGGCAACAGCCCAGAUCGUCAGCUAAGGUCCCUAAAUGUAAGUUAAGUGGUAAAGGAUGUGGAAUUGCACAGACAACCAGGAUGUUGGCUUAGAAGCAGCCACUCAUUUAAAGAGUGCGUAAUAGCUCACUGGUCGAGUGAUUCUGCGCCGAAAAUUUCCGGGGCUAAAACUUACUACCGAAGCUACGGCAUCAUUAUGAUGGGUAGGGGAGCUUUCUAUGUGGCUUGAAGCAUGACCGUAAGGACAUGUGGACUGCAUAGAAGUGAGAAUGUUGGCAUGAGUAGCGAGAUGUGGGUGAGAAUCCCACAGGCCGUAAACCCAAGGUUUCCAGGGGAAGGUUCGUCCGCCCUGGGUUAGUCAGGACCUAAGCCGAGGCCGAAAGGCGUAGGUGAUGGACAACAGGUUGAUAUUCCUGUACCACCAAUAACCGUUUGAGAAAUGGGAUGACACAGUAGGAUAAGCUAACCGCACUGUUGGUUAUGUGCGGGCAAGUAUUGAGGCAGUUCCGAUAGGCAAAUCCGUCGGAAUAAUGCUGGGGUACGAUGCGGAGCGAAAUUUAGUAGCGAAGUAGCUGAUUUCACACUGUCGAGAAAAGUCUCUAUCGAGGUUAAAGGUGCCUGUACCGCAAACCGACACAGGUGGGUGAGGAGAGUAUCCUAAGGCCAGCGAGAGAACUGUUGUUAAGGAACUCGGCAAAAUGACCCCGUAACUUAGGGAGAAGGGGUGCCUUCGAAAGAAGGCCGCAGAGAAUAGGCCCAAGCGACUGUUUACCAAAAACAUAGGUUUCUGCUAAGUCGCAAGACGAUGUAUAGGAGCUGACGCCUGCCCGGUGCUGGAAGGUUAAGGGGAUCUGUUAGAGCAAUCGAAGCAGUGAACUUAAGCCCCAGUAAACGGCGGCCGUAACUAUAACGGUCCUAAGGUAGCGAAAUUCCUUGUCGGGUAAGUUCCGACCCGCACGAAAGGCGUAACGAUCUGGGCGCUGUCUCAACAAGAGACUCGGUGAAAUCAUAGUACCUGUGAAGAUGCAGGUUACCCGCGACAGGACGGAAAGACCCCGUGGAGCUUUACUGUAGCUUGAUAUUGAGCACUGGUGGCACAUGUACAGGAUAGGUAGGAGACGAAGAAACCAGGACGCCAGUCUUGGUGGAGUCGCUGUUGGGAUACUACCCUUGUGUCACUGGGGUUCUAACCCGUGGCCCUUAUCGGGUCAGGGAACAGUGUCAGGUGGGCAGUUUGACUGGGGCGGUCGCCUCCCAAAGAGUAACGGAGGCGCCCAAAGGUUCCCUCAGAAUGGUUGGAAAUCAUUCGAAGAGUGUAAAGGCAGAAGGGAGCUUGACUGCGAGACCUACAAGUCGAGCAGGGACGAAAGUCGGGCUUAGUGAUCCGGCGGUACCGAAUGGAAGGGCCGUCGCUCAACGGAUAAAAGCUACCCCGGGGAUAACAGGCUGAUCUCCCCCAAGAGUUCACAUCGACGGGGAGGUUUGGCACCUCGAUGUCGGCUCAUCGCAUCCUGGGGCUG